rnacentral:lncRNA from 1 species
UUGAAGAUGUCCACAAGGGUAUAUACAUAGACAAGGUUAGUUCAAACUGUCAUUGUAGGUGUCGGGAGAGGGUAAGUUUGGAGAUGUCCACAAGGAUAUCUACAUAGACAAGGUCAGUACAAACUGUCAUUGUAGGUGUUGGGGGAGGGUCAGUUUGGAGAUGUCAACAAGGAUAUCUACAUAGACAAGGUUAGUACAAACUGUCAUUGUAGGUGUUGGGAGAGGGUCAGUUUGGAGAUGUCCACAGGGGUAUCUUUAUUGUAGGUGUUCUGGGAGGGUCAGUUUGGAGAUGUCUACAAGGAUAUCUACAUAGACAAGGUCAGUACAAACUGUCAUUGAAGGUGUGUGGGGGAGGGUCAGUUUGGAGAUGUCAACAAGGAUAUCUACAUAGACAAGGUAAGUACAAACUGUUUUUGUAUAUGUCAGGGUAGGGUAAGUUUGGAGAUGUCUACAAGGAUAUCUACAUAGACAAGGUCAGUACAAACUGUUUUUGUAUAUGUCAGGGUAGGGUAAGUUUGGAGAUGUCCACAGGGGUAUCUUUAUUGUAGGUGUUGGGGGAGGUUCAGUUUGGAGAUGUCCACAAGGAUAUCUACAUAAACAAGGUUAGUACAAUCUUUCAUUGUAGGUGUGUGGGGGAGGGUAAGUUUGGAGAUGUCCACAGGGGUAUCUUUAUUGUAGGUGUUGGGGGAGGUUCAGUUUGGAGAUGUCCACAAGGAUAUCUACAUAAACAAGGUUAGUACAAUCUUUCAUUGUAGGUGUGUGGGGGAGGGUAAGUUUGGAGAUGUCCACAGGGGUAUCUUUAUUGUAGGUGUUGGGGGAGGUUCAGUUUGGAGAUGUCCACAAGGAUAUCUACAUAAACAAGGUUAGUACAAACUGUCAUUGUAGGUGUGUGGGGGAGGGUCAGUUUGGAGAUGUCCACAAGGAUAUCUACAUAAACAAGGUUAGUACAAACUGUCAUUGUAGGUGUGUGGGGGAGGGUCAGUUUGGAGAUGUCCACAAGGAUAUCUACAUAAACAAGGUUAGUACAAACUGUCAUUGUAGGUGUGUGGGGGAGGGUAAGUUUGGAGAUGUCCACCAGGAUAUCUACAUAGACAAGGUUAGUACAAACUGUCAUUGUAGGUGCGUGGGGGAGGGUCAGUUUGGAGAUGUCCACAAGGAUAUCUACAUAAACAAGGUUAGUAUAAACUGUCAUUGUAGAUGUGUGGGGGAGGUUCAGUUUGGAGAUGUCCACAAGGAUAUCUACAUAAACAAGGUUAGUACAAACUGUCAUUGUAGGUGUUGGGGGAGGGUCAGUUUGGAGAUGUCCACAAGGGUAUCUACAUAAACAAGGUUAGUACAAACUGUCAUUGUAGGUGUUGGGGGAGGGUCAGUUUGGAGAUGUCCACAAGGGUAUCUACAUAAACAAGGUUAGUACAAACUGUCAUUGUAGGUGUUGGGGGAGGGUCAGUUUGGAGAUGUCCACAAGGGUAUCUACAUAAACAAGGUUAGUACAAACUGUCAUUGUAGGUGUUGGGGGAGGGUCAGUUUGGAGAUGUCCACAAGGGUAUCUACAUAAACAAGGUUAGUACAAACUGUCAUUGUAGGUGUUGGGGGAGGGUCAGUUUGGAGAUGUCUACAAGGAUAUCUACAUAGACAAGGUCAGUACAAACUGUUUUUGUAUAUGUCAGGGUAGGGUAAGUUUGGAGAUGUCCACAGGGGUAUCUUUAUUGUAGGUGUUGGGGGAGGUUCAGUUUGGAGAUGUCCACAAGGAUAUCUACAUAAACAAGGUUAGUACAAACUGUCAUUGUAGGUGUGUGGGG